rnacentral:rRNA from 1 species
GACGAACCGAGCGAACGUUGUUCGGAAUCACUGGGCUUAAAGGGCGCGUAGGCGGGUGCUCAAGUCCGUGGUGAAAUCCUCCGGCUCAACCGGAGAACUGCCUCGGAUACUGGGCGUCUCGAGUGUGGUAGGGGUAUGCGGAACUAUCGGUGGAGCGGUGAAAUGCGUUGAUAUCGAUAGGAACUCCGGUGGCGAAGGCGGCAUACUGGACCACCACUGACGCUGAUGUGCGAAAGCCAGGGGAGCGAACGGG